GUCUCGUUGAAUCUUACGGGUUUCCUGUACUUUUUUCAGCCAAUCGCUGGCAACGUUACAAUACGAUAGCGUGGCAUAAAACGAGUACUUGUAAGCAUUACACGUAAUCAAAGGUUAGAAUAAGGAUAUCUCAAGAACUGUUCCAAAAAGACAGUGACAAAUGAAUUCGACUGAAGGGCGUUCUCCGACUACUUCGCAAAUGCGUUUGGCUGGGACAGCAGUGCUUGCAAUGGCCGGAGGAGUAAUGACCACAGUCGGUGCUCCUGCAGCUGUUGGCGCCUUGGGCAUCGCUGUUGCUGGUGUGGUGGUAGUCGGUGCCUUCAAGUUUUGGUCUGAUUAACAGACACUAGGAGAGAUUCUGAAAAUGAAACGCAAAUUUCGGCAAAUUAUACACUGAUUUGAAAGAAAUAAAAUAAAAAACAUUUAUUUUAAAAAAAGUUCCAAGCAAGUUUCAAACUUUAAUCAUGUUUGUGCAUUGACUGGUUUUAUUAAAGUCAGGAACAAUUCACAUACCUCCUCAUUUUAUUUUUAUAAAUUAUAUUUAGAACUUAAUUUUCAAAUGGUCCUAUAAGCCCAACAAAUGUUGCUGUUUGUUUCAAAUGCUUUUUCUUGUUAGUAAAUGUGUAGCCAUUUUUUAGACUUAAUGUGAUUUUAAUUUUAAAAAAUAUUUCUAAAUACUGCAGAUUAAAGUAUAUAUUAACUUAAUGUUGAAAAUAAAUAAAUAAUAUUUGGAACGCUUGAAA